rnacentral:rRNA from 1 species
GUGGAUUAGAUACCCGGGUAGUCCACGCCGUAAACGAUGAGUGCUAGGUGUUGGGGAGGAAUCCUCGGUGCCGCAGCUAACGCAAUAAGCACUCCACCUGGGGAGUACGACCGCAAGGUUGAAACUCAAAGGAAUUGACGGGGGCCCGCACAAGCGGUGGAGCAUGUGGUUUAAUUCGAAGCAACGCGAAGAACCUUACCAAGGCUUGACAUCCCGAUGACCGCUCUAGAGAUAGAGCUUCUCUUCGGAGCAUCGGUGACAGGUGGUGCACGGUCGUCGCCAACU